rnacentral:misc_RNA from 1 species
GCAAACUUGGUCAUUUAGAGGAAGUAAAAGUCGUAACAAGGUUUCCGUAGGUGAACCUGCGGAAGGAUCAUUAUUGAGUUUUAUAAGUAGAAGUUUGUUGUGAAUGCAACUAAUUUCUAUGAUUAUUCUCUUAUCCCCUUUGAUAUUAUUUCUUAGUUGCUUUGGUAGUAGUUUGAUUACUAUUACCAAGGGAAGUUAUAAACUCUUUGAAGCCAAUAUAGUUGGAGAAUGAUUUGUCAGACUUUUAUUUUUAUAAUAUUAAUAAAACUUUCAACAAUGGAUCUCUUGGUUCUGGCAUCGAUGAAGAACGCAGC